UUUUUUUCUGUUCUUUACUUGUGUUUUUCUUUUUCUGUGUAUUUUUCUUUGUGUGUUUGUGUGUGUGUGUUUGCUUGCAUUUUGCUCGUGUUCUUUGCUUUGUUUGUGUUCUUCUGAUAAUUGCAUCUUUAGGAGAAAUUCCUGAAUGAACACAGAGAGGACUUUAGCAACGCAUUCGGCCUUGGAGAAGAUAAAGGAGGAAAUUUUCUAAGGUGGGGAGGACCUUUCCUCACGUCUGUCCUAGACAAGGCCACAGGCUGCAGGGCUGCGUCUCUGCCAACUGUGACAAGAACAGCCUCUUCCAGUCUACGGGAUGCAAUACUUUGUCCAAUAUUCAGUUAACAGGGCAUUCGAAAUCUAGCUGAGUGACUGCUGAGCCAGGGCGCGAGGUCCUGGGCCUUGGAGCCCAGGUGGCCUGGGCGGUGCGGCUCCUCGCGCUGCUGCCUCAGGCUCUCACCUCCCUCUAGCGGCCGCCAAGG
rnacentral:lncRNA from 10 species